GCUGAAUGUGGGGAUAAUUUAUCUCCGUGUUGUAGCUAACGCGUUAAGCACUCCGCCUGGGGACUACGGUCGCAAGACUAAAACUCAAAGGAAUUGACGGGGACCCGCGCAAGCGGUGGAGCAUGUGGUUUAAUUCGAUGCAACGCGAAAAACCUUACCAUUCCUUGACAUGGAGAUUAGAUCCUUCUUAACGGAAGGGCGCAGUUCGGCUGGAUCUCGCACAGGUGCUGCAUGGCUGUCGUCAGCUCGUGUCGUGAGAUGUUGGGUUAAGUCCCGCAACGAGCGUAACCCUCAUCCUUAGUUGCCAGCGGGUAAUGCCGGGCACUUUAAGGAAACUGCCGGUGGUAAACUGGAGGAAGGUGGGGAUGAUGUCAAGUCAGCACGGCCCUUAUGGGGUGGGCUACACACGUGCUACAAUGGUGACUACAAUAGGUUGCAAUGUCGCAAGGCUGAGCUAAUCCGUAAAAGUCAUCUCAGUUCGGAUUGUCCUCUGCAACUCGAGGGCAUGAAGUCGGAAUCGCUAGUAAUCGUGGAUCAGCAUGCCACGGUGAAUACGUUCUCGGGUCUUGUACACACUGCCCGUCACGCCAUGGGAAUUGGCUUAACUCGAAGCUGGUGCGCUAACCGAAAGGAAGCAGCCAU
rnacentral:rRNA from 1 species